rnacentral:rRNA from 1 species
AACGAACGCUGGCGGCAUGCCUAACACAUGCAAGUCGAACGGACCCUUCGGGGUCAGUGGCGCACGGGUGCGUAACGCGUGGGAAUCUGCCCUCUGGUUCGGAAUAACUCAGGGAAACUUGAGCUAAUACCGGAUAAUGACUUCGGUCCAAAGAUUUAUCGCCAGAGGAUGAGCCCGCGUCGGAUUAGCUAGUUGGUGAGGUAAAAGCUCACCAAGGCGACGAUCCGUAGCUGGUCUGAGAGGAUGAUCAGCCACACUGGGACUGAGACACGGCCCAGACUCCUACGGGAGGCAGCAGUGGGGAAUACUGGACAAUGGGCGAAAGCCUGAUCCAGCAAUGCCGCGUGAGUGAUGAAGGCCUUAGGGUUGUAAAGCUCUUUUACCCGGGAUGAUAAUGACAGUACCGGGAGAAUAAGCCCCGGCUAACUCCGUGCCAGCCGCCGCAGUAAUAC